GAUGAACGCUGGCGGCGUACCUAAUACAUGCAAGUCGAGCGAACAGACGAGGAGCUUUCUCCUCUGACGUUAGCGGCGGACGGGUGAGUAACACGUGGAUAACCUACCUAUAAGACUGGGAUAACUUCGGGAAACCGGAGCUAAUACCGGAUAACAUGUUGAACCGCAUGGUUCAACAGUGAAAGACGGUCUUGCUGUCACUUAUAGAUGGAUCCGCGUCGCAUUAGCUAGUUGGUAAGGUAACGGCUUACCAAGGCAACGAUGCGUAGCCGACCUGAGAGGGUGAUCGGCCACACUGGAACUGAGACACGGUCCAGACUCCUACGGGAGGCAGCAGUAGGGAAUCUUCCGCAAUGGGCGAAAGCCUGACGGAGCAACGCCGCGUGAGUGAAGAAGGUCUUCGGAUCGUAAAACUCUGUUAUUAGGGAAGAACAAAUGUGUAAGUAACUAUGCACGUCUUGACGGUACCUAAUCAGAAAGCCACGGCUAACUACGUG
rnacentral:rRNA from 1 species